GAGGGGGGGGGUGAAUAGGUGAUCCUGUAAAAACUUCAAACUUAAGCCACAAAAACUUGUUAAGUGUUAGCACGAUUAUUGCCAAGUGGCUAAGGUGAAGUCUCAACAAUCUCAACAAAACACAGUACCACAAGAGAAUCAAGCACAGAGUGACACAGUGGUUUUAUCCCGUGGUUCGGCCAAGACCAACGCUUGCCUACUCCACGUUGUGGCGUCCCAACGGACGAGGGUUGCAAUCAACCCCUCUCAAGCGGUCCAAAGACCCACUUGAAUACCACGGUGUUUUGUUUUCCUUUCACUAUCCCGUUUGCAAGGAAUCUCCACAAAUUGGAGUCUCUUGCCCUUACAAGUAUAUGAUCACAAAUGAAACACAGAGUAAGGGAGGGAAGCAACACACACAAAUCCACAGCAAAAGCGCACACACACGGCCAAGAAUCGAGCUCACAAGACUAUCUCAGAGUUCUCACUUAGAACAGAGCUCGAAUCACUUAGAAACACAAACGAAUGCGCAGAGACUUAGUGUGGAUGAUCAAGAAUGCUCAAAGGUUGCUUGUGUGUCUCCUCCAUGCGCCUAGGGGCUCCUUUUAUAGCCCCAAGGCAGCUAGGAGCCGUUGAGAGCAAAUCUGGAAGGCCAUCUUUGCCUUCUGUCUCGUGGCGCACCGGACAGUCCGGUGCACACCGGACACUGUCCGGUGCCCGAUUUGUUUCCAUAGAAAGCGAAGCCGACCGUUGCCGACCGUUGCAGAUCUGGCGCACCGGACAGUCCGGUGCACACCGGACAGUCCGGUGCUUCCUUCCGACCGUUGGCUCGGCCACGUGUCGCGCGCCGAUCGCGCGGCCGACCGUUGGCCCGGCCGACCGUUGGCUCACCGGACAGUCCGGUGCACACCGGACAGUCCGGUGAAUUUUAGCCGAAGUCGCCGGAGAAAAACCCGAGAGCGGCCUCUUCGGCCGAGGCAGCCUGGCGCACCGGACACUGUCCGGUGCACCACCGGACAGUCCGGUGCCCCAGACCGAAACAGCCUCUUGGCUGUACACAGCCAAGUCUUCUCUUCUCUUCUUCUUUCUGUUUCUAACACUUAGACAAAUAUAUUAGUACACAAAACCAAUGUACUAAGGCUUAGAAACAUACCUUUACUUGUGAUUUGCAACUUGUCCAUCCAUGGGCAUAUUUUCACAUUUUGGCACCUGUGUUUGCACUUAAUCACCAAAAUACUUAGAAAUGGCCCAAGGGCACAUUUCCCUUUCAGGCUCCAGAGCUCCCCUAGUGGCCCUCAGCCCCUCGGGCAAGGGGAAGGGGGCUACGAGCAGUUCUUCUGCCCUGGGUGAUUCUGAGAGGUCGGAGGGAGAGAGGCGGCACCGACUGUGUCGCGCUGACGGGUCUUUCGUUGGGGAUCCGCCCCUUGAUUCGGACCUCCCCCAGAAGCGCUAGAGGACAGCUAGCGGGGGGCGGGGCCAAGGAGGCCGGCUCCUCGGCCCAGGGCUCGCAGAGGCGCGUCAGUCCUCCACCUGCGCCACCAAUCCCGCCGCCACCAUCAUCCGACUCGCCGCCGCCGUAGGGGCAGCAGCAUCAACGGCAGCAACAGCAGGAGGGGCAGCGGAUGUCUCGCUUCCAAGGUUGCUGGAAGGUCCAGGACCCCAAGUAAGUGUACCCCUUUCCAUUUUCCUCCAUUAGUCUAGUCAUCAUGUUGACAUGUAUUAACCCGUCCUUUGCUCAUUAGGGCCUCUUCCUCCUCUAUCUCCAAAGUCGCUCCUACUGGUGAGUCCGGCUCCCAGCAACAGGUGUCUGCUGGCCUCGAUGCCGGCGACCUGCCUCCGCCUGCCACUGUUGGGGCGGCGCCAUCGGGCCCCCAGGUUCUGACUGCUGCAGGCGCGGCAGGGUCGUCGGGCCCCCAGGAUCCAGCUGCCACUGCCGAGGCAGUGCCGUCGGGCCCCUAGGCCUCAGCUGAGGAUCUGAUAGCAGCAGCAUUGCCAACGGCUACUGCAGGCCCAACGGCGGCGGCGAUGUCGCCGAAUAUGCUGUCGGCGUCGGCGGAAGCCACGGGGGGCGCGUCCGAUUCCAUCCCACUGCCCGUUCUGGAGGAGCCGGAGGUUAUUCUUGGGCGGCGGCUCCAGACCGGCGCCGGGCCAGAAACGAUGCCACCUCCCCUCCCUCAGGUGUUGUCCCAUGCUCACCAGGCUCUCCGGGAGACCGAGGCGGCGAUCCUGUGGGAGUGGGAGGCGCUCGAGACUAAGCGCCAGCACCUUGGCGAUUGGCACUCCCAGCUGGAGGAACGUACCCAGGCCGCGUCCUACCAAUUUGCUUUGGAGUGGUCCGAGCUUGAGCAUGGGCGCGAGGACCUCAAGGAGGACCUGAAGAGGGUGCUCGAGCGGGAGCGAGAGGUGACUUAGGAGGAGAAGAGGCUGGUCAGGAAGAAAGAGCACUUGGACCAGCAGGAGGCAGCCAUCACGGAAUUCCAUGAGAAGUUGAAAGCCUAUAAUGCGAUGCUGGAGGAGCAGAGGGAUGAGCAUACCGCGACUGAAGCGGCGCUGCAAAAGUGCAGCAGGAGCUUGAUGAUAGGGCUAGCAACAUCUCUCUCGCCGAGGAAAACCUCAAGGCGAAGGAUGCUUCCCUAGAGGAGCGGGCGACGGAUCUCACCCGAUAGGAGAAGGACCUUGCCUAGAGGGAGGAGAUGUGGGAAAGGCGGGAAAAGUUGCUGGCCGAGCAUGAGCUCGAGGCGGAGGAGAAAGAAACAAAUUGGAGGAGAAAGAGUGGACACUAGAGGAGUAGGUCUGCCGGUUCUAGGCAACGCAAGCGCGGGUAGCGCAAACGGCGCAGGCGGCUCCGGGUUCCCAGGCGGUAGAGGCGAUGAAGAAGACGCUAGAAGAUCUUUGGUCAGAGGAUCACAUCGGGGUUCAGCGUAUCGCUGCAUGGGCCGCCGAGGCGAGCUUGGCUCUAGUACCGUUGGGGGUGAGCCCCAUCCCAGUGUUGAAGCAGUCGGUGUCCAUUUUCGACGUGCUCUCGGUGUUGGAUUUCGCUGCUGACCGCCUCCGGCGCCUUGAUCAGAUCCUUGGUGCUCGCCUGGAGGCUGAGGGCAGCAGACUCUGCCGGGCGGUAAUAGAGUACAUUCUGACGUGCUUCCAGAGCCACGACCCGGCCAUCUCCUUGGGGCCGGUGAUUGCCCGUCCGAUGGCCGAUACCGAAGACGCCGCCCGGGGGAGCGUUGAAAGGGAAUUAGGCUUACACCUAGUCCCUAAUUAAUUUUGGUGGUUGAAUUAACCAACACAAAUAAGUGGACUAACUAGUUUGCCCAAGUGUAUAGAUUAUACUGGUGUAAAAGGUUCACACUCAGCCAAUAAAAAGACCAAGUUUUGGAUUCAACAAAGGAGUAAAGGGGCAACCGAAGGCACCCCUGGUCUGGCGCACCGGACUGUCCGGUGUGCCACCGGACAUGUCCGGUGCACCAAGGGGACUCAGACUCAAACUCGCCACCUUCGGGAAUUCCCAGAGGCGACUCGGCUAUAAUUCACCGGACUGUCCGGUGUACACCGGACAGUGUCCGGUGCGCCAAGGGAGGUCGGCCUCAGGAACUCGCCAGCUUCGGGAAACUCCAACGGCUAGUCCGCUAUAAUUCACCGGACUAUCCGGUGUGCACCGGACUGUCCGGUGCGUCUCCGGAGCAACGGCUACCUCCGCGCCAACGGCUCUCUGCGGUGCAAUAAAUGCGCGCGCAGCGCGCGCAGAUGGCAGGCGUGCCCAUACUGGCACACCGGACAAGGAACAGUAGAUGUCCGGUGUGCACCGGACACCCAGGCGGGCCCACAAGUCAGAAGCUCCAACGGUCAGAAUCCAACGGCAGUGAUGACGUGGCAGGGGGCACCGGACUGUCCGGUGUGCACCGGACUGUCCGGUGCGCCAUCGAGCAGUCAGCCUCCCAACGGCCACAUUUGGUGGUUGGGGCUAUAAAUACCCCAACCACCCCACCAUUCAUUGCAUCCAAGUUCUCUACUUCCCAUCUACUACAAGAGCUCUAGCAUUCAAUUCUAGACACACCAAAGAGAUCAAAUCCUCUCCAUAUUCCACACAACGCCCUAGUGAUUAGAGAGAGAGAUUUGCUUGUGUUCUUUCGAGCUCUUGCGCUUGGAUUGCUUCCUUCUUUCUUGAUUCUUUCUUGUGAUCAAACACUCACUUGUAAUUAAGGCAAGAGGCACCAAUUGUGUGGUGGCCCUUGCGGGAAGUUUGAUUCCCAAGUGAUUUGAGAAGAGAAGCUCACUCGGUCCGAGGGACCGAUUGAGAGAGGGAAGGGUUGAAAGAGACCCGGCCUUUGUGGCCUCCUCAAACGGGGAGUAGGUUUGCAAAAACCGAACCUCGGUAAAACAAAUCCGCGUGUCACACUCUUCAUUUAAUUGCGAUUUGUUUUGCUCCCUCUCUCGCGGACUCGUUUAUACUUCUAACGCUAACCCGGCUUGUAGUUGUGUUUAUAUUUGUAAAUUUCAGUUUCGCCCUAUUCACCCCCCUCUAGGCGACUUUCAAUUGGUAUCGGAGCCCGGUGCUUCAUUAGAGCCUAACCGCUCGAAGUGAUGUCGGGAGAUCACGCCAAGAAGGAGAUGGAGACCGGCGAAAAGCCCACUACAAGCCACGGGAGCACUUCAUCGGAAGAGUCCCGCACCAAGAGGAAGGAGAAGAAGAAGGACUCCUCCAAACGGAAGGAGAAAAAGUCUUCCUCUUCUCACCACAAAGAGAAGAAGGAAAAAUCUUCUUCCCACAAGCCGCAUCGGAAAGGCGACAAGCACAAGAGGAUGAGGAAAGUGGUCUACUACGAGACCGACACUUCAUCAACAUCGACCUCCGACUCCGAUGCGCCCUCCGUCACUUCUAAGCGCCAAGAGCGCAAGAAGUAUAGUAAGAUCCCCCUACGCUACCCUCGCAUUUCCAAACAUACACCUUUACUUUCCGUCCCAUUAGGCAAACCACCAACUUUUGAUGGUGAAGAUUACGCUAGGUGGAGCGAUUUAAUGCGAUUUCAUCUAACCUCGCUCCACAAAGGUAUAUGGGAUGUUGUUGAGUUUGGUGCACAGGUACCGUCGGUAGGGGAUGAGAACUAUGAUGAGGAUGAGGUGGCCCAAAUCGAGCACUUCAACUCUCAAGCAACAACAAUACUCCUCGCCUCUCUAAGUAGAGAGGAGUAUAACAAAGUACAAGGGUUGAAGAGCGCCAAGGAGAUUUGGGAUGUGCUCAAAACCGCGCACGAGGGAGACGAGCUCACUAAGAUCACCAAGCGGGAAACGAUCGAGGGGGAGCUCGGUCGGUUCCGGCUUCGCAAAGGGGAGGAGCCACAACACAUGUACAACCGGCUCAAGACCUUGGUGAAUCAAGUGCGCAACCUCGGGAGCGUAAAGUGGGAUGACCACGAGAUGGUUAAGGUUAUUCUAAGAUCUCUUAUUUUCCUUAACCCUACUCAAGUCCAAUUGAUCCGUGGUAAUCCUAGAUAUACUAAAAUGACCCCCGAGGAAGUUAUCGGGAAUUUUGUGAGUUUUGAGUGCAUGAUCGAAGGCUCGAGGAAGAUCAACGAGCUUGAUGAUGCCACCACAUCCGAAGCUCAACCCGUUGCAUUCAAAGCAACGGAGGAGAAGAAGGAGGAGUCUACACCAAGUCGACAACCAAUAGACGCCUCCAAGCUCGACAAUGAGGAAAUGGCGCUCGUCAUCAAGAGCUUCCGCCAAAUCCUCAAGCAAAGGAGGGGGAAGGAUUACAAGUCCCGCUCCAAGAAGGUUUGCUACAAGUGUGGUAAGCCCGGUCAUUUUAUUGCUAAAUGUCCUAUAUCUAGUGACAGUGACCGAGGUGACGACAAGAAGGGGAGGCGAAAGGAGAAGAAGAGGUACUACAAGAAGAAGGGCGGUGAUGCCCAUGUUUGUCGGGAGUGGGACUCCGACGAAAGCUCAAGCGACUCCUCCGACGACGAGGACGCCGCCAACAUCGCCGUUACCAAGGGACUCCUCUUCCCCAACGUCGGCCACAAGUGCCUCAUGGCAAAGGACGGCAAAAAGAAGAAGGUUAAAUCCAACUCCUCCACUAAAUAUGAGUCUUCCAGUGAUGAUAAUGCUAGUGGUGAGGAAGAUAAUUUGCGUACUCUUUUUGCCAACCUUAACAUGGAACAAAAGGAGAAAUUAAAUGAACUAAUUAGUGCCAUCCAUGAGAAGGAUGAUCUCUUGGACUCCCAAGAGGACUUCCUAAUCAAGGAAAAUAAAAAACAUGUUAAGGUUAAAAAUGCUUACGCUCUACAAGUUGAAAAAUGUGAAAAAUUGUCUAGUGAGCUAAGCACUUGCCGUGAGAUGAUUGACAACCUUAGAAAUGAAAAUGCUAGUUUAAAUGCUAAGGUUGAUUCUCAUGUUUGUAAUGUUUCAAUUCCCAAUCCUAGAGAUAAUAAUGAUGAUUUGCUUGCUAGGAUUGAAGAAUUAAACAUGUCUCUUGCUAGCCUUAGAUUAGAGAAUGAAAAUUUGAUUGCUAAGGCUAAAGAUUUUGAUGUUUGCAAAGUUACAAUUGCCGAUCUUAGAGAUAAAAAUGAUAUACUUCGUGCUAAGAUUGUUGAACUUAAUUCUUGCAAACCAUCUACAUCUACCACUGAGCAUGUCACUAUUUGUACUAGAUGUAGAAAUGUUGAUAUUGAUGCUAUUCAUGAUCAUAUGGCUUUAAUUAAACAACAAAAUGAUCAUAUAGCAAAACUAGAUGCUAAAAUUGCCGAGCACAACUUAGAAAAUGAGAAAUUUAAAUUUGCUCGUAGCAUGCUUUAUAAUGGGAGACGCCCUGGCAUUAAGGAUGGCAUCGGCUUCCAAAGGGGAGACAAUGUCAAAAUUAGUGCCCCUCCUAAAAGAUUGUCAAAUUUUGUUAAGGGCAAGGCUCCCAUGCCUCAGGAUAACGAGGGUUACAUUUUAUACCCUGCCGGUUAUCCCGAGGACAAAAUUAGGAAAAUUCAUUCUAGGAAGUCUCACUCUGGUUCCAACCAUGCUUUUAUGUAUAAGAGUGAGACAUCUAGUUCUAGGCAACCAACCCGUGCUAAGUUGCCUAAGAAGAAAAUUCCUAAUGCAUCAAAUGAACAUGCCAUUUCAUUUAAGACUUUUGAUGCAUCUUAUGUUUUGACUAACAAAUCCGGCAAGGUAGUUGCCAAGUUUGUUGGGGGCAAACACAAGGGGUCAAAGACUUGUGUUUGGGUACCCAAAGUUCUUGUUUCUAAUGCCAAAGGACCCAAAACCGUUUGGGUACCUAAAGUCAAGAACUAAAAUUGUUUUGUAGGUUUAUGCAUCCGGGGGCUCAAGUUGGAUACUCGACAGCGGGUGCACAAACCAUAUGACUGGGGAGAAAAGGAUGUUCUCCUCAUAUGAGAAAAACCAAGAUCCCCAACGAGCUAUCACAUUCGGGGAUGGAAAUCAAGGUUUGGUCAAAGGUCUUGGUAAAAUAGCUAUAUCUCCUGACCAUUCUAUUUCCAAUGUUUUUCUUGUAGAUUCUUUAGAUUACAAUUUGCUUUCCGUUUCACAAUUAUGUCAAAUGGGCUACAACUGUCUAUUCACUGAUGUAGGUGUCACUGUCUUUAGAAGAAGUGAUGAUUCAAUAGCAUUUAAGGGAGUGUUAGAGGGUCAGCUAUACUUAGUAGAUUUUGAUAGAGCUGAACUCGACACUUGCUUAAUUGCUAAGACUAACAUGGGUUGGCUCUGGCACCACCGACUAGCCCAUGUUGGAAUGAAGAAUCUUCAUAAGCUUCUAAAGGGAGAACACAUUUUAGGAUUAACAAAUGUUCAUUUUGAGAAAGACAGGAUUUGUAGCGCGUGCCAAGCAGGGAAGCAAGUUGGAGCUCAUCAUCCACACAAGAACAUCAUGACGACCGACAGGUCACUGGAGCUCCUACACAUGGAUCUAUUCGGCCCGAUUGCUUACAUAAGCAUCGGCGGGAGUAAGUACUGUCUAGUUAUUGUGGAUGAUUAUUCUCGCUUCACUUGGGUAUUCUUUUUACAGGAAAAAUCUCAAACCCAAGAGACCUUAAAGGGAUUCUUGAGACGGGCUCAAAAUGAGUUCGGCUUAAGGAUCAAGAAAAUAAGAAGCGACAACGGGACGGAGUUCAAGAACUCACAAAUUGAAGGCUUUCUUGAGGAGGAGGGCAUCAAGCAUGAGUUCUCUUCUCCCUACACCCCUCAACAAAAUGGUGUAGUGGAGAGGAAGAAUCGAACUCUAUUGGACAUGGCAAGAACCAUGCUUGAUGAGUACAAGACACCGGACCGGUUUUGGGCCGAAGCGGUCAACACCGCCUGCUACGCCAUCAACCGGUUAUAUCUUCACCGAAUCCUCAAGAAGACAUCAUAUGAACUCCUAACCGGUAAAAAGCCCAACAUUUCAUACUUUAGAGUUUUUGGUAGCAAAUGCUUUAUUCUUGUUAAAAGAGGUAGAAAAUCUAAAUUUGCUCCUAAAACUGUAGAAGGCUUUUUACUUGGUUAUGACUCAAACACAAGGGCAUAUAGGGUCUUUAACAAGUCCACUGGACUAGUUGAAGUCUCAUGUGACGUUGUGUUUGAUGAAACUAACGGCUCUCAAGUAGAGCAAGUUGAUCUUGAUGAGAUAGGUAAUGAAGAGGCUCCAUGCAUAGCGCUAAGGAACAUGUCCAUUGGGGAUGUGUGUCCUAAGGAAUCCGAAGAGCCUCCAAGUGCACAAGAUCAACCAUCCUCCACCACGCAAGCAUCUCCACCAACUCAAAAUGAGGAUGAGGCUCAAGUUGAUGAAGGGCAAAAUCAAGAAGAUGAGCCACCUCAAGAUAAUGGCAAUGAUCAAGGGGGAGAUGCAAAUGAUCAAGAAAAGGAGGAUGAGGAAGAACCAAGGCCGCCACACCCAAGAGUCCACCAAGCAAUCCAACGAGAUCACCCCGUCGACACCAUCCUCGGCGACAUUCAUAAGGGGGUAACCACUCGAUCUCGUGUUGCACAUUUUUGUAAACAUUACUCUUUUGUUUCCUCUAUUGAGCCACACAGGGUAGAGGAAGCACUUCAAGAUUCGGAUUGGGUGAUGGCGAUGCAAGAGGAGCUCAACAACUUCACUAGGAAUGAGGUAUGGCAUUUAGUUCCACGUCCUAAUCAAAAUGUUGUAGGAACCAAAUGGGUCUUCCGCAACAAGCAAGACGAGCAUGGUGUGGUGACAAGGAACAAAGCUCGACUUGUGGCCAAAGGAUACUCCCAAGUCGAAGGUUUGGAUUUCGGUGAAACCUAUGCACCCGUAGCUAGGCUUGAGUCAAUUCGCAUAUUAUUGGCCUAUGCUACUUACCAUGGCUUUAAGCUUUAUCAAAUGGACGUGAAAAGUGCUUUCCUCAACGGACCAAUCAAGGAAGAGGUCUAUGUUGAGCAACCUCCCGGCUUUGAAGACAGUGAGUAUCCUAAUCAUGUCUAUAAGCUCUCUAAGGCGCUUUAUGGGCUCAAGCAAGCCCCAAGAGCAUGGUAUGAAUGCCUUAGAGAUGUUCUUAUUGCAAAUGGAUUCAAAGUCGGAAAGGCCGAUCCUACACUCUUUUACUAAAACUCUUGAAAAUGACUUAUUUGUAUGCCAAAUUUAUGUUGAUGAUAUUAUAUUUGGGUCUACUAACGAGUCUACAUGUGAAGAGUUUAGUAGGAUCAUGACUCAGAAAUUCGAGAUGCCAAUGAUGGGGGAGUUGAAGUAUUUCUUAGGAUUUCAAGUGAAGCAACUCCAAGAGGGCACCUUCAUUUGUCAAACAAAGUACACUCAAGACAUUCUAACCAAGUUUGGAAUGAAGGAUGCCAAGCCCAUCAAAACACCCAUGGGAACUAAUGGGCAUCUCGACCUCGACACGGGAGGUAAGUCCGUGGAUCAAAAAGUAUACCGGUCGAUGAUUGGUUCAUUGCUUUAUUUGUGUGCAUCUCGACCGGACAUUAUGCUUUCCGUUUGCAUGUGUGCAAGAUUCCAAUCCGACCCUAAGGAAUCCCACCUUACGGCCAUCAAACGAAUCUUGAGAUAUUUGGCUUAUACUCCUAAGUUUGGACUUUGGUACCCUCGGGGAUCCACAUUUGAUUUAAUUGGUUAUUCGGAUGCCGAUUGGGCGGGGUGCAAAAUCAAUAGAAAGAGCACAUCGGAGACUUGCCAGUUCUUGGGAAGAUCCUUGGUGUCUUGGGCUUCAAAGAAGCAAAAUUCGGUCGCUCUUUCCACCGCCGAAGCCGAGUACAUUGCCGCAGGCCAUUGUUGCGCGCAAUUACUUUGGAUGAGGCAAACCCUGCGGGACUACGGUUACAAAUUAACCAAAGUCCCUUUGCUAUGUGAUAAUGAGAGUGCAAUCAAAAUGGCUGACAAUCCCGUCGAGCAUAGCCGCACUAAGCACAUAGCCAUUCGGUAUCAUUUUCUUAGGGAUCACCAACAAAAGGGAGAUAUCGAGAUUGCUUACAUUAAUACUAAAGAUCAAUUAGCCGAUAUCUUUACCAAGCCACUUGAUGAACAAACUUUUACCAAACUUAGGCAUGAGCUCAAUAUUCUUGAUUCCCGCAACUUCUUUUGUUAGAUUGCACACAUAGCUCAUUUAUAUACUUUUGAUCAUAUCUCUUUUAUAUAUGCUAUGACUAAUGUGUUUCCAAGUCUACUUCAAAUCAAGUCAUAGGUAUAUUGAAAGGGAAUUGGAGUUUUUUCGGCGAAGACAAAGGCUUCCACUCCGCAACCCAUCCUUCGCCGUCGCUCCAAGCCACUCUCCAUCUUUGGGGGAGAGAACAAAAGGACUUCAUCUUUGGUAUAAUCUUAACUCAUUUGUUUAUGACCAAAGAGGAAGUCAUUACUUCGUGGGCUCUAAUGAUUCCGUUUUUGGCGAUUCAUGCCAAAGGGGGAGAAAGUAUGAGCCCAAAGCAAAAGGACCGCACCAUCACCAAUUUCAAAAAACUUAGUGCUUUCCAAAAGUAUUUAUCAAUUGGUAUCCUAUUGUGUUCAAAAGGAGAAGAAAAUUAGUUUUUCAAAAAUGUAUGUCAAAACCCUCUUGAACACUAAGAGGUGGAUCUCCUUUAGGGGGAGUUUUGUUUAGUCAAAGGAAAAGCAUUUGAAAUAGGGGGAGAAAAUUUCAAAUCUUGAAAAUGCUUUGCAAACUCUUAUUCAUUUACCUUUGACUAUUUGCAAAAGAUUCUUGAAAUGGAUUCACAAAAAGAAUUUGCAAAAACAAAACAUGUGGUGCAAACGUGGUCCAAAAUGUUAUAUAAGAAAGAAACAGUCCAUGCAUAUCUUGUAAGUAUUUAUAUUGGCUCAAUUCUAAGCAACCUUUACACUUACAUUAUGCAAACUAGUUCAAUUAUGCACUUCUAUAUUUGCUUUGGUUUGUGUUGGCAUCAAUCACCAAAAAGGGGGAGAUUGAAAGGGAAUUAGGCUUACACCUAGUCCCUAAUUAAUUUUGGUGGUUGAAUUAACCAACACAAAUAAGUGGACUAACUAGUUUGCCCAAGUGUAUAGAUUAUACAGGUGUAAAAGGUUCACACUCAGCCAAUAAAAAGACCAAGUUUUGGAUUCAACAAAGGAGCAAAGGGGCAACCGAAGGCACCCCUGGUCUGGCGCACCGGACUGUCCGGUGUGCCACCGGACAUGUCCGGUGCACCAAGGGGACUCAGACUCAAACUCGCCACCUUCGGGAAUUCCCAGAGGCGACUCGGCUAUAAUUCACCGGACUGUCCGGUGUACACCGGACAGUGUCCGGUGCGCCAAGGGAGGUCGGCCUCAGGAACUCGCCAGCUUCGGGAAACUCCAACGGCUAGUCCGCUAUAAUUCACCGGACUGUCCGGUGUGCACCGGACUGUCCGGUGCGUCUCCGGAGCAACGGCUACCUCCGCGCCAACGGCUCUCUGCGGUGCAAUAAAUGAGCGCGCAGCGCGUGCAGAUGGCAGGCGUGCCCAUACUGGCACACCGGACAAGGAACAGUAGAUGUCCGGUGUGCACCGGACACCCAGGCGGGCCCACAAGUCAGAAGCUCCAACGGUCAGAAUCCAACGGCAGUGAUGACGUGGCAGGGGGCACCGGACUGUCCGGUGUGCACCGGACUGUCCGGUGCGCCAUCGAGCAGUCAGCCUCCCAACGGCCACAUUUGGUGGUUGGGGCUAUAAAUACCCCAACCACCCCACCAUUCAUUGCAUCCAAGUUCUCUACUUCCCAUCUACUACAAGAGCUCUAGCAUUCAAUUCUAGACACACCAAAGAUAUCAAAUCCUCUCCAUAUUCCACACAACGCCCUAGUGAUUAGAGAGAGAGAUUUGCUUGUGUUCUUUCGAGCUCUUGCGCUUGGAUUGCUUCCUUCUUUCUUGAUUCUUUCUUGUGAUCAAACACUCACUUGUAAUUAAGGCAAGAGGCACCAAUUGUGUGGUGGCCCUUGCGGGAAGUUUGAUUCCCAAGUGAUUUGAGAAGAGAAGCUCACUCGGUCCGAGGGACCGAUUGAGAGAGGGAAGGGUUGAAAGAGACCCGGCCUUUGUGGCCUCCUCAAACGGGGAGUAGGUUUGCAAAAACCGAACCUCGGUAAAACAAAUCCGCGUGUCACACUCUUCAUUUGCUUGCGAUUUGUUUUGCUCCCUCUCUCGCGGACUCGUUUAUACUUCUAACGCUAACCCGGCUUGUAGUUGUGUUUAUAUUUGUAAAUUUCAGUUUCGCCCUAUUCACCCCCCCUCUAGGCGACUUUCAAGCGUGCAAGACACCGUAGACGUGGUGGCCAAGCGCUUCCAGCGAGAUCCCGCUGAUGAUGAGUAGUGGGCUCUGCGAAGAGAAAGCAAAGGUUCCACUGGGAAGCGGCUUAUCAUAUUUUGGUUUUGUAAGAUACCUUUAAGUACUAUUUGAACUUAUCUGCAUGUUACUUCCCCCUUGCUAUGUGCGUUGUUAUCAACUUCUUCCCUGUUGCUUGGCCCCUCUGGAAUGUGGUCUCGACUUGUCGAGGCUGGAUGCCAGUAUAUCUAAGAAAGAGUUGGUGACCUGGCCCCCAGGAGGGUACUUCGACUGGGAUCUAGACCUGCACGCAGCCUUAGCUAGGAAGUUUUAGUAGCGCACCCAUCGGACCCAUUAAUUGGUAUCCUUCAUCUUUUGAUAAAAACAAUGGUGGCAAGCUUAAGCAGAAUAAGAUCACCAUAAGGCAAAUCUGGGGUCGAGUGAAUCUCUUCAUAACCUGGUGUUUAUGAGCAUAAAACAACGGACCGGGUUUAUAAGGGCGGACCUUACCGGGUUGGCGUACAUACAAGUGCUACCUAGUUACAAAGGAAGAAAACUGCAUUCCCCAGUUUUUCUUUUAUGGGAAGAACUUACGGAGGUGCUCUAUGUUCCAGGGAUUGGGCAGAAACUCUCCUUCAGUUGUGGCGAGGCGGACACACCCGGGUCGUCAUACUUCCGUCACCUUGAAGGGUCCUUCCCAGCUGGGGGAGAGUUUAUGGAGCCCUUCUCAGUUCAGUACUCGCCUUAGGACUAGGUCCCCAACCCUGAGCUCCUUACUAUGCACGAACCGUUGGUGGUAACGCCUGAGCGCUUGGUUGUACCGUGCAUUUCGGAUGGCUGCUUGCCAUCUGCGCUCAUCGAUGAGGUCCACGUCUUCACGCUGCAGCUGUCCCUGCAUAGAUUCCUCGAAAGCCUGGACCCGAGGAGAACCCAUGAUGAUUUCUGGGGGAAGACAGGCUUCGGCCCCGUAGACCAGGAAGAACGGGGUCUCCCCGGUGGCUCGGCUGGGUGUUGUUCGGUUCCCCCAUAGCACGGAUGGGAGCUCACUGACCUAAUUCACACCAUGCUUCUUCAAGUAGUCAUAGGUGCGCGUCUUGAGUCCCUUGAGGAUCUCUACAUUUGCCCUUUCCGCUUGGCCAUUGCUUCUAGGGUGGGCCACGGAUGCGAAGCAGAGUUGGGUGCCGAUGCCCUCGUAAUAUUCUUGGAAGAUUCGACUUGUAAACUGGGUUCUGUUGUCCAUGAUGAUACGGUUUGGGACCCCAAAUCUACAGACGAUGGACUUGAGGAAAGCGACAGCGGCACCUUGGGUGAUGUUGACCACAGGGGUGGCCUCUGGCCACUUAGUGAACUUGUCGAUGGCGACAUAGAGGUACCGGUACCCGCCAACGGCCCUGGGAAAUGGCCCUAGGAUAUCCACCCCCCAUAUGGCGAAUGGCCAAGAGGGUGGAAUCAUUUGCAGAGCCUGAGCUGGUGUGUGCAUUUGUUUUGCGUGGAAUUGACACGCCUUGCAGGACUUCACCAUCUCAGCUGCAUCCUGGAGAGCGGUUGGCCAGUAAAAGCCAUGCCAGAAGGCCUUACCGACCAGUGUGCGGGAUGAUGAAUGACUUCCGCAGUCUCCUCCAUGGAUCUCCGUGAGCAACUCAUGGCCCUCUUCCUGGGUAAUGCAUCGCAUGUGAAUGCCGUUGGGGCCACGGUGGUAGAGAUCCCCUUCCACCACCGCGUAACGCUUAGCCAACCGCACUAUGCGUUCUAUGGACACAUGGUCUUCAGGAAGGAUAUUCUCCUUUAGGUAGUCCCGGAUCUCAGAGAUCCAUGCAUCGGGACCACUAUGAGAUAUUGGCUGCGAUGCUAAGGGGCUGGCAGGCCCCCCUGUAGCAUACACAGCCUUUGGUGGGUUCUGGGACGCCACCAGGACCGCUAGCUUUGAGGUGCUAGUCUCGCCCCCUUCGCCCAGUUUGGCAGGCUAGACGGUGGGUCUCAGCAGCCGUCUUUCGAAGACGCCCUCGGGCACGGGUGCCUAAGUUGACCUUCACGAAGAGGUCAUCUGCUACUGAGUUGUCGGCCCGAGGAACAUGUUGCAGUUCUAGGGCCGUGAAGUCUUUCUCCAGUUUCCUUACGUGAAGAAGGUAGGCUGCGAGCCUGGGCUCAUUGCAGCUACACUCUCCGCGGACUUGCUUGAUGAUCAGCUAGGAGUCUCCGUUUACCAGGAGCUGGUGGAUGCCUAGGGAUAGGGCCGCCGAUAAGCCAAAGAUCAGUGCCUCGUACUCUGCCAUGUUGUUGGUGGCUUUGAACUCAAGGUGCACCAUGUACUUCACUUGAUCUCUGCUUGGGUCGAUGAGGAUCACCCCGGCCCCGCUGACUUGUUGGCGGGCAGACCCGUCGAAGUAGAGCGUCCAGUGGGGCUCGGUGAAGACCGGACCCCUGGGUUCCGCAGGUGUGGGGUCCGAGUCAGGACCCGGACCCCCAGGGACGCUUGAGGGGGGUGUCCACUCCACGAUGAAGUCAGCCAGGACCUGACUCUUGAUGGCGUGGCGAGGUCGGAAGUCCAGCUGGAACUCAGCGAGCUCCGCAGCCCACUUGGCAAUGUUCCUAUGGCGUUAGAGUUGUGGAGGAUGGCCCUUAAUGGGAAGGAGGUCACCACCACAAUACUGUGCGCUUGGAAAUAAUGGCGUAGUUUCCUGGACGCGACGAGCACAACAUAGAAGAGUUUGUGCGUCUCAAGGUACCUGGUUUUCGCCUCAUGGAGGACCUCACUGACGUAGUAGAGCGGCCUCUGAACGGUGCGGACCCCUGUAGCCGGUCCCAAGUUCUCAAGUUCCUGGCUUUCUGGUGCCGGUCUCUCGACGACCAACACCAUGCUCACCGCUUCUGCGGCCGUCGCAAUGUAUAAAUAUAGUGGCUCCUCUAGUUCUGGAGCCACCAAUAUUGGCAGAGACACCAAGUGCUUUUUCAACUCCUGGAAGGCUUGCUCCGCCUCUUCGGUCCAAGAGAAGGGCCCGGAUUUCCGUAGCAGCUUGAAGAAGGGCAGCGCUCUCUCAGCCAGCCUCGAAAUGAAGCGGCUAAGGGCGACCAAUGAUCCCGUAAGCUUCUGGACGUCCUUGACUCGGGCCGGGGGCCUCAUGCCUCAAUCGCUCUGAUCUUCUCCGAGUUUGCUUCAAUGCCCCAGUACGAAACCAGGAACCCUAGCAAUUUCCCAGCGGAAAUGCCGAAAACGUACUUGUCUGGGUUCAGCUUCGUGCGGGUUGCUCGUAGCUUGUCGAAGACCAGGGUCAAGUCUUCCACUAAGGUCGACCCUCUCUUAGUCUUGACCACGAUGUCAUCGACAUAGACUUCUACUUUGUCUCUAAUUAGGUCCCCGAAAGUCUUACCCAUUGCCCACACAAAUGUAGGCAAGGAAUUUUUCAGACCGUACGACAUAACAACAUAGCAGUAAAGCCCAUCCACUGUUACAAAAGCGGUAUGCUUUCUAUCUUCCCUAGACAUUUGGAUUUGGUGGAAACCAGAGUAAGCGUCUAAGAAUGAUAAUAGAUCGCACCCAGAGGUAGAAUCCACGAUUUGGUCUAUACGUGGCAGCGGAUACGAGUCCUUGGGACAAGCCUUUUUCAGGCUGGUGUAGUCGAUGCACAUCCGGAGCUUCCCAUUCGCUUUGGGGACAAUGACUGGGUUGGCCAGCCAUAUUGGGUGAUGAACCUCUUCGAUGAAGCCAGCGUCUAGCAGCUUCCGGACCUCCUUUCGGAUGAAGUCCUGUCGCUAAAUAAACUGUUUGCGAGGCUUCUGACUCACCGGCCUGGCGUCGGGGUUGAUCUUCAGGCAGUGCUCGAUCACCUCCCUGGGGAUCCCAGGCAUCUGCAAUGGCUCCCAUGCGAAUAUGUCGGCAUUUGCCUGGAGGAAGGCGAUGAGCGCGAGUUCCUAUUUCUCGUCCAGAUCACUCGCAAUGCGAGUGGUCUGGGUGGAAUCUGCAGCAAGACGGAUGGCUUUGAUGGGGACACCAUCCGCUCCGGAUGGUUGUACCUUUGGCGCCUUGGGGGCGCCUUGGUACCGGAGGUUGAGGGAUUCCUCCCUCCGUCGUCUGGGUGAGCAGUCUCUGCCGCUAGGGCAUGCAGCUUUUCUAGACAGGCAGCCUGAUACCACAUUGCUAUGGUAUCUUUCACCUCCAUUUUUUGUUUGAUUUGACAUGAGGAACAUCUCCUGUCCUUUCUUUGACUCUUUUUCUUUUUUUAUAUGGGAAAUGAUCCCAAAUGAUAAGUGAAUAGGUGUGGAAGUUAUAAUUGUAAAUAAACCAGGAUCGAAUCUAUGGAAGCAUUGGUUUAUACGUUCCUUUUAGUUUCGACUUUAGGGAUA
rnacentral:lncRNA from 1 species